rnacentral:snoRNA from 1 species
ACAUGAUGUUAACAACUUGUUAUGAUCUCUGUGAUUAUUCAAAGUUCAUUUGUUUCAAGACGGGACUGA